rnacentral:rRNA from 1 species
CUGACCUCAAUUCAGGUAGGACUACCCGCUGAACUUAAGCAUAUCAAUAAGCGGAGGAAAAGAAACUAACCAAGGAUUCCCCUAGUAACUGCGAGUGAAGCGGGAAAAGCUCAAAUUUAAAAUCUGGCGGUCUUUGGCCGUCCGAGUUGUAGUCUGGAGAAGUGCUUUCCGCGCUGGACCGUGUAUAAGUCUCUUGGAACAGAGCGUCAUAGAGGGUGAGAAUCCCGUCUUUGACACGGACUACCAGUGCUUUGUGAUGCGCUCUCGAAGAGUCGAGUUGUUUGGGAAUGCAGCUCAAAAUGGGUGGUAAAUUCUAUCUAAAGCUAAAUAUUGGCGAGAGACCGAUAGCGAACAAGUACCGUGAGGGAAAGAUGAAAAGCACUUUGGAAAGAGAGUUAAACAGUACGUGAAAUUGCUGAAAGGGAAACGCUUGAAGUCAGUCGCGUCUGCCGGAACUCAGCCUUGCUUUCGCUUGGUGCAUUUUCYGGUAGACGGGCCAGCAUCGAUUUUGACCGUCGGAAAAGGGCUGGAGAAAUGUGGCACCUUCGGGUGUGUUAUAGUCUCUAGUCGCAUACGGCGGUUGGGAUCGAGGAAUCGCAGCGCGCCGCAAGGGCAGGGGUUCGCCCACUUUCGCGC